rnacentral:lncRNA from 1 species
UUUUUAGAAUUAUCUUUCUUGUUUUCAAUUAGCUCUCUCGCUUUACCCCAAAUUUCUUUGCCUCUCUCUCUAAAAACCCAAAAACAAAUGAUCGAAAAAAAUCAAGACCACCUAGUUGUCGUCAAGCUUUUUAGAUUUUGGCAGUUGUCCACAGUGUUGUUAAACGCAAGUCGCCGCCGACUGCUACUCGUCGGCGUCGAUUCGUUUCCAAAUGUUUUCACCUAAAUAUUUUUUUUUGCCCCCUUCUAUCUUUUUCGACCUUUGUUUUCCCUGAAAAUCAAUGAAUCUUCCUAUAUUAAAAGCCUUAUCUCACAACUUCAAACCAAAAUUAUUCCCUUCCCACAGCUCCAAAUCAACUAAAAUUCUAGUUUGUUAUUCCCCUUUUUCUUCUCUCUAUUUUCCCCAAAAGAGAACCUCAAUAGUCUAAACAAGAACCACCAUCACCCACUGCCAGAAACUUACCCACUAUCAUUCGAACACUUUCUAGACCCUAAAAUAUUUCCCAUUUUCUCCUAACUAACCUAGUAACCAAAUAAAAAAAAAAAGCCUUUAAAACCCGACAAAAGUAAAACCCUAAGGAACAAUCCCCACUAGCAGAAAACUUUUUUUAGAAUUUUGCUUUUUAUUUUUAUUAAUGUUGUGUUUAUUGCGGAUGCUUUGUUAUUUGUUGCUGACUGUGUGUACUGGACUUUUUGGUUGUGUACUUUCUAGAUUCAGGCUGAUUGGGUUUGCUGGAAUUCUUGUGUUUGAUGCUUGUGGGUAUUCUGUAUUGUCUUUGAAUGCUGCUUCUGAUUCUGGUUUCUGAUUGUUUGAGGGUGGUGGUAUAUGGCAGGGACUGAUGGUUAUAGGGCUCUGAGUCGACCAGAGAUUUCAAUUGAAUUAUUGGGUUUUUGGAAAAAUCCUUUACAACAAUCGCUUUUGACUCAACCCUUAUCUUCAGAUGACAAUCAAUCCGUAUCACAUUCAAAUUCCUCCUUUUAUUUUUU